rnacentral:rRNA from 1 species
GACGAACGCUGGCGGCGUGCUUAACACAUGCAAGUCGAACGAAGUGGCGUACGUGUGAGUAACGCGUAAUCAACCUGCCCUUCAGAGGGGGACAACAGUUGGAAACGACUGCUAAUACAGCAUACUGAAGGAGGGGGUUGCGUCGGAUUAGCUCGUUGGGGGGGGAACGGCCCAACAAGGCGGAGAGCAGUAGCCGGGCUGGGGGGGUGGACGAGUAAAAUUGGAAUGGGGAACGGGCCAGACUCCUACGGGAGGCAAGAGUGGGGAAUCUUCCGAAAAGGGCGAAAGGCUGACGGAGGCAAGCCGCGUGAGUGGUGACGGGUUUCGGGUUGUAAAGGUCUGUUAAUCGGGGCGCGGUACCAGAAGAGAAAGCAACGGCUAACUACGUGCCAGCAGCCGCGGUAAUAC